GACGAACGCUGGCGGCGUGCUUAACACAUGCAAGUCGAACGAUGAACCAGGAGCUUGCUCUUGGGGAUUAGUGGCGAACGGGUGAGUAACACGUGAGUAACCUGCCCUUGACUCUGGGAUAAGCGUUGGAAACGACGUCUAAUACCGGAUACGAGCUUCAGCCGCAUGGCUAGGAGCUGGAAAGAAUUUCGGUCAAGGAUGGACUCGCGGCCUAUCAGCUUGUUGGUGAGGUAAUGGCUCGCCAAGGCGACGACGGGUAGCCGGCCUGAGAGGGUGACCGGCCACACUGGAACUGAGACACGGUCCAGACUCCUACGGGAGGCAG
rnacentral:rRNA from 1 species